rnacentral:rRNA from 1 species
AUUGAACGCUGGCGGCAGGCCUAACACAUGCAAGUCGAACGGUAACAGGAAGCAGCUUGCUGCUUUGCUGACGAGUGGCGGACGGGUGAGUAAUGUCUGGGAAACUGCCCGAUGGAGGGGGAUAACUACUGGAAACGGUAGCUAAUACCGCAUAACGUCGCAAGACCAAAGAGGGGGACCUUAGGGCCUCUUGCCAUCGGAUGUGCCCAGAUGGGAUUAGCUAGUAGGUGGGGUAACGGCUCACCUAGGCGACGAUCCCUAGCUGGUCUGAGAGGAUGAUCAGCCACACUGGAACUGAGACACGGUCCAGACUCCUACGGGAGGCAGCAGUGGGGAAUAUUGCACAAUGGGCGCAAGCCUGAUGCAGCCAUGCCGCGUGUAUGAAGAAGGCCUUCGGGUUGUAAAGUACUUUCAGCGGGGAGGAAGGGAGUAAAGUUAAUACCUUUGCUCAUUGACGUUACCCGCAGAAGAAGCACCGGCUAACUCCGUG